rnacentral:misc_RNA from 1 species
GCUUUGGACCGUAUACAAGAGGUAUGAUUAAUUGCUGUCAACCCAUGAACUAGUUUCUUAACAAGAUAUGUCAAAAGUAUUACUUCUAAACUUGUUGUACCUGCUGACGAAUUUGAAAACUAGCCUUAAUGAUGUACAUCAUGAUUACUCAUUUGACUUACCAUAAAAAAGCCCCAUAAAGUUCAGUACUUAUUUAGUACUUAAUGCAUAUGAUCCUUUGAUUUUAUAAACUCUGCACUUUGGUGACAGGGGUUAUCAAGAACUCAUUAUUUGGUCUGAAACUGAAUUAAAAGCUAAAAUUUGAUACCAUGUAUGUUAAAAACACAACUUUUUAAGCUGUUUAGGUAGCGAAGAAUACAUUUAACAAAAUAAAUUAACCAAAAAGUCUUGUUAGCGUCGAGUCAGUGGUUUUCCCCUCUAAUUUUCUCUUAUAAUUACUAUUCUUUUUUCAUCAUGGGUUAAAUUAAUAUCCCUAUUUAACAUUUCCUUUUUACCUGCUGCAGUGUUUUAUUUAAAACAUCUACUUCAUUACUUUGCAUGUAUGCACAAGUCACUAUAGAAGUAUUUCUAUGAUUUUGUAUGAUUGCUACCCCUUAGAUUU